rnacentral:rRNA from 1 species
AGUGAACGCUGGCGGUAGGCCUAACACAUGCAAGUCGAACGGCAGCACAGUAAGAUUUUGCUCUUACGGGUGGCGAGUGGCGGACGGGUGAGGCAUACAUCGGCAUCUACUUUUUCGUGGGUGAUAACGUAGGGAAACUUACGAUACUACCGCAUAUGACCUACGGCUUAAAUCAGGGGAUCUUCGGACCUUGCGCGAUUGAAUUAGCCGAUGUCGGAUUAGCUAGUUGGCGGGGUAAAGGCCCACCAAGGCGACGAUGCGUAGCUGGUCUGAGAGGAUGAUCAGCCACACUGGAACUGAGACACGGUCCAGACUCCUACGGGAGGCAGCAGUGGGGAAUAUUCGGCAAUGGGCGAAAGCCUGACGCAGCAAUGCCGCGUGAGUGAAGAAGGCCUUCGGAUUGUAAAGCCCUUUUGUUAGGAAAGAAAAGCAGCGGGAGAAAACCCCGCUGUCCUGACGGUACCCAAAGAGAAAGCACCGGCUAACUUCGUG